rnacentral:rRNA from 1 species
UACAGAGGGUGCGAGCGUUGUCCGGAAUCACUGGGCGUAAAGGGCGCGUAGGUGGCGACCCAAGUCGAUGGUGAAAGCUCGCCGCUCAACGGCGAGUCGGCCACCGAUACUGGGUUGCUGGAGCACUGUAGAGGCAGAUGGAAUUCCGGGUGUAGCGGUGGAAUGCGUAGAGAGUCCGGAAGAACACCGGUGGCGAAGGCGGUUCUCUGGCAAUGUUCUGGACGCUGAGGAGCGAAAAGUGUGGGGAGCGAACAGG